GAUGAAGAACGUAGCGAAAUGCGAUAAGUAAUGUGAAUUGCAGAAUUCAGAGAAUCAUCGAAUCUUUGAACGCACAUUGCGCCCGCUAGUAUUCUGGCGGGCAUGCCUGUCCGAGCGUCAUUUCAACCCUCAAGCCCCUCCGGGGGCCUGGCGUUGGGGAUCGGCCCCGCUCCGGCGGCCGGCCCCGAAAUGUAGUGGCGGUCUCGCCGCUGCCUCCUCUGCGUAGUAGAAACACCUCGCAUUGGGACGCGGCGGGCCCACGCCGUUAACCAGAUGAAUUUUUUCAAGGUUGACCUCGGAUCAGGUAGGAAUACCCGCUGAACUUAAGCAUAUCAAUAAGCGGAGGA
rnacentral:misc_RNA from 1 species